rnacentral:lncRNA from 1 species
GGGGAAGAGACAAGAAAAUGAGACAAGAGACAAAUGAGCAAAGGGGGGGAAAGAUUGAUGGACAAGAGAUAAGAGGCAAGAGAAGAGGAAAUAAUCAGUAAAAAAGGGCAGGAGUUCUAGAUGAAAUACAGAGAGAGAACUUAAAACCAUAUUUUCCCAUAGAGCUCUGGUGGUAAUUUGUUGGAAACCAACAGAAACAGCAUGAUAUUGAAAUUUUUUUUUUAAAGGCAGUUGUGUGGUGACUGGUUAUUACCAGUGUUAGAUUAAAAAAAAAUUAUCUAAAGUUUUAGGCACAAGUUGGGUCCCUAGCCUUCGCAUGGGAUGGCUGAGACUCAUGAAAAAGCAGGUCAUCCUGGACAACUACCAUAUACCCAUCUCAGCAAGUCCUCCCCCAUCUUUCCCCAGGCCUUGGGCUUUAGGCCCUCCAUCAAGGCGAGGGAAGCCAUAGGGAGAGGGGCUAAGCAGCAGGACGGAGACUUCCCUAGUGGAGAAGGCCAGGUGUCACAGGGGAGAAGAGAAGGGUAGCUGAAGGCCUGCUUCCUGCUCCCCAGGAAGAAGGCACAGUAGCAUUUCUGAGCACUAGAAGGACAAGCAUGUCACUUCCCCCCUCACGCCAAGGGGAACCAGCAAAAUAAAUUGAAUUCCUUGUUCUUCGUCAGCAAUCACAGCCCUGCCAUCAUUCUCCCUAAUCCUGAGGGGAGACCAAGAGUGUGGCCAAAUAGACUGCCAACAUCCUAUAAUCUCUAGAAUCUCCUAUUAGUUGAAGGCUAAGUGGGCAGGGAAAGAGUUAGGUUACCCUGCAACUAAGACUUCGGCUAACAAAGCACUGUGCCCCCUCACCCCGAGGCUGACCAGACCAUCUCCCAACAUUCUUCCCUUUGGCCAGUUGUGUGGAGAGCACAGGGGCUUGGGAAACCUGGCUUGGUGCUGACCAACAGGGUCAGUGCUCACCAGAGGGAGGACAAUGAAUUGGGGAGUCCUAAAUCCCAGGGUCUCAGGAAAGGGAAUUAAAGCUAAGAGUUAAGCAGUAGGAGAAAAGAAUUUAAGCUUAAGGCAACUCACUUCUGCCCUGUGACCUUAGCUAGUGCCUGGGUGCUGGUGUUCAGAGAAGAGAAAAAAGAAAGGGAAUCGACCUCAAAGUUGGUCCGCUCAUCCUCCUCGGAGGAGGUCUGUGGCCUGGGCGGGGAGCCAAAAGAGGCACCAGGGAGAGUCUGGGCUCCCAAACAAAAAGUAAUAACCUGCCCAUAUUUUAUCAGCAGUUUUCAAAAGCAACCUUUUCCGGGGCUGGAUGAGUGCCACAUCCUCCUCCCCUUCCCAAGGCUACUGCCGCCACCUUUCAUCCCUUGAGAAACUGAGCCCUCUUCCAAGAGAGAUGGAACAGAUUUCACUUUUUACCUUUCAUCACCAGAGGCUUCCUAGCCUAGGACAGGGUAGGGGGUUAACUGAAGGGGUCCCACUCUAGGCAAUUAGACCAUUCUCACACUUUUAUUUUUGGCACCUGCAACUCCAAGUGCUUUUUAAAUUCACCCCAAGGCCCAAUAGGCACAAGGGAUGAUGGUAGCUGGGUGGAAACUUUAAUCAAGUAGCACCUAGGCUCCCCCAGAGCAUGACAGGGACCUGAAUAGCACCCCCAACAAGGUCCCUCCAAUACCUGUACCCCACCAAAAGAUAUAUAAAUUUAUUGCAUUUCAGCAAAGAUCUGCAGCUUCCAGUAUUCACAAUGUGAAGAUAUUAACAAUACAAAAUAUAUUCUGAAAGUCAAAUACCUGCAGUUUAUAGUGCUUUCUCAGAUUUGUUAAAAAAUACAAUGCUUAAAGUUUCCUAUAUAAGAUAUACAAAAGCAAAAAAUAUAUAUAUAUAGUAGAAAUAAAUCAGCCAUAUUAAUUUACAGCUUUUGUACCCAACCCUUCCCCCCCCCCCUAAGCCCCAUGUCCAUUACUUCUGUAUUUCCUGAAAAGGGGAGGGAGAGGGUUGUUUAUUCAGAUUUGGGCUGGGCUCAGGAAUACCCAUUAAACUGCACUCUGUUCAGAACCCACAGGUCAGGGUGGAUUAGGACAACCAGAAAGUCCCUGAAAAGACAAUAUGGGAUAUCUUACUAUUUGGGGGCACAAGGGAAGAAGCCAAAAGGUACAAAGGCCAGGCAAGGGAAUGAAUGCUUUAACAUUACCUCUCCUAUCCCAACCCCCCACACCAAAAAACAAAACCUCACAACAAAAUAGGAUUGGUCAUGACCAAAAAAAAAAAAAAAAA